AAUAGAUACCCUGGUAGUCCUAGCUGUAAACGAUGAGCACUGGGUUGAGGGGACUUCCACAUCCUCUCGGCCGUAGCGAAAGCGUUAAGUGCUCCGCCUGGGGAGUAUGGCCGCAAGGCUGAAACUCAAAGGAAUUGACGGGGGCUCACACAAGCGGUGGAGGAUGUGGCUUAAUUCGAGGCUACGCGAAGAACCUUAUCCUAGAUUUGACAUGGUUGAGAAUCUCCUUGAAAGAGGAGAGUGCCCUUCGGGGAGCUCUUUCACAGGUGCUGCAUGGCUGUCGUCAGCUCGUGUCGUGAGAUGUUGGGUUAAGUCCCUUAACGAGCGAAACCCUUAUCUUUAGUUGCCAGCGGGUCAAGCCGGGGACCCUAAAGAGACUGCCGGUGUCAAACCGGAGGAAGGUGGGGAUGACGUCAAGUCCUCAUGGCCUUUAUGUCUAGGGCUGCACACGUCCUACAAUGGCACGUACAAAGGGAAGCCAAGCCGCGAGGCCGCGCUAAUCCCAAAAAGCGUGCCCCAGUUCGGAUUGCAGG
rnacentral:rRNA from 1 species